CGACAUUGCUUUAAGGGCUGUGUUGAUGGGGCAGAAGUCAGCCGAGGCCAUAGUACCGGCGGGAAUCAGUGAUGGUUGCUGGGAAGGGC
rnacentral:ncRNA from 1 species